GUUUUUGUAGUUUAAAGAAAACAUUGGUCUUGUAAACCAAAAUUAAUAAUAUUUAAAAACA
rnacentral:tRNA from 1 species